rnacentral:rRNA from 1 species
GAUGAACGCUGGCGGCAGGCCUAAUACAUGCAAGUCGAGCGAACGGAGGAGAAUUUCUCCUCUCUGAUGUUAGCGGCGGACGGGUGAGUAAUACGUAGAUAACCUAUCUAUAAGACUGGGAUAACUUCGGGGAACCGGAUCUCGUAUCGGAUAAUAUUGUGAACCUGAUGGUUCAAAAGUGAAAGAGGGUCUUGCUGUGACUAAUACAUGUAUCCGCGCUGCAUUAGCUAGUUGGUAAGGUAACGGCUUACCAAGGCAACGAUGCAUAGCCGACCUGAGAGGGUGAUCGGCCACACUGGAACUGAGACACGGUCCAGACUCCUACGGGAGGCAGCAGUAGGGAAUCUUCCACAAUGGGCGAAAGCCUGACCGAGCCACGCCGCGUGAGUGAUGAAGGUCUUCGGAUCGUAAAACUCUGUUAUUUGGGAAGAACAUCAGUGUAUGUAUCUCUGCACAUCUUGACGUUACCUACACAGAAAGCCACGGCUAACUUCGUG